rnacentral:rRNA from 1 species
UACAGAGGUCUCAAGCGUUGUUCGGAUUCAUUGGGCGUAAAGGGUGCGUAGGCGGCGCGGUAAGUCGGGUGUGAAAUCUCGGAGCUUAACUCCGAAACUGCAUUCGAUACUGCCGUGCUUGAGGACUGGAGAGGAGACUGGAAUUUACGGUGUAGCGGUGAAAUGCGUAGAUAUCGUAAGGAAGACCAGUGGCGAGGGCGGGUCUCUGGACAGUUCCUGACGCUGAGGCACGAAGGUCAGGGGAGCAAACGGG